AUUCUUACGAUGUGUCAUUCUUACGAUUCACAUUCUUACGAUGUGUCAUUCUUACGAUUCACAUUCUUACGAUGUGUCAUUCUUACGAUUCACAUUCUUAUGAUGUGUCAUUCUCACGAUUCACAUUUUUAAGAUGUGUCUUUAGUAGUGAAAGUGUUUCCUAGAGCCUUCGCUAGUAACGUGGCCGUUAAAACCCUUUUGCACAUCGACUGAUCCAGGCUGGGUGGGCUUUACUUGUCUCAUCGCGCUCUAGUGACUCCUUGCAGCGAGCUGGGCACCUGCAGACUGACCUUAUUGUCAGUUGAACAGUGUUUACGCUGACACAUUGGUGCUGCUGGCUUCUGGGUUAAGCCAGCGGGUGGUAAGAAGUACGGUUUGUCGAGUCAUGUUUUGGAGGACGCAUUACUCGACCUUCGCCUCCCGAGCCCGUUGGGGAGUUGCAGCGAUGAGACAUGAUCGAACUUGGGGAGUAAAAGGGGCGGUAAAAUAUAUAAAUAACUUUGGCAUGCUCAUAAUGGAUACUUUAUUAUUUAUUUAUUUUUAAAGCAGAUGUAUCUACCGAUAGCUGCCCUUCUUUCCAAAACAUUGAAAAACCUCCCUGGUCUUUGUGGUUGAAUCUGUGUCUGAAAUUCACUUCUCUACUGAAGGACCUUACAGAUAAUUGUAUGUGUGGGGUACAGAGAUGAUGUAGUCAUUCACAAAAAUAAUGUGACUUGUUAAUCAAUUAAACGUUUACUCCUUAGGCUUGCCAUAACAUAGGGGUUGAAUACUUAUUGACUCAAGACAUUUCAGAUUCUAAUUAUUUUUCAUUAGUAAAAAAUUCCCAAUAAAUAAUUCCACUUUAUUAUGGGGUAUUGGGUGUAGGCCAGUGACACAAACUCUACAUUUAAUCCUUUUUAAUUGCAGUAACACAAUAAAAUGUGGAAAAGGUCCAAGGGUGUGAAUACUUUCUGAAAGCACUGUAGGCCUAUAGCCUAUACUGUAAGUAAGCCAUUUAUUUUAAUGCAGUCAUCUGCAGUUUUCAUUUGAAGCAUAUUCUUAUUUAUCCUUUGCUUGGUUGUUACAAUUGCAAAGACAACUUUGUAUUUGUAGUCAACUUUGUUGAAGUUGACUACAAAUCACGACGAGGAGGAUUAACACUGUUUAGCAGAGAUCCUCUGUGUACACAGUGACGCAGGAGGGUAAAAAAACGCUUUGGACAUACCGACAGAGUCAUUGCGCAAAAUAGUAUGCAGCAUCAUCUGGAAAUGUAUGCAACAAAAGUUCAACAUUCACCUUCUGUUGCCAUUUCUGUCAAGCCGUCUACGUAUACAGUUUGACGCAUAUGUUCGAUAAACCCAACGUCCUCACCACACAGAACGCACUGCAACUGUCUCUGCAACGCAGUGCUGCAAGGCAUACGCAGCGUUUCAUUGGAAAUUAAUGUAAUUCUGGUGCACCAAAAUGCAAAAACACUGUCAGUGUGUUUGAAGCAUUAGCUGUACUAUGAAAGGUCUGAGACAGGCAUUAGAUUACAGGCGUUAGAUUACGAGCGUUUUCAAGUGCAAUGUUAAUAACGAUGGUUUUGGGAAACAGCUCGGAGAUUUAACGAUGUUCCUAUGAAGAUUUGAAUGAUUAACCUGGCUCUUAAAGUCUCCAUCUUAUUUACUUUCUACCCUCAGGUUGUGGCACACAGCGUGCCAAGGGAAGGACUCUGAUGUCAUUGUGUUUGGGGGUAGUUGCGACCUCAUCCUCCUUGUAGACACAGGUCACUGCAAUGAUGUACUUGUUUUCCAGAUCCAGCCCUACCACCUCCUUCGGAUAUGUGAGGAUUACAUAGCCAAGAAUGUGAAGAACUACAAACUGCUUCAAAAACAGCUUCCAUGUAUGCCCCCAAAACUACUGCCAGCUGUACAGAGGAUAAUGUCCUUUUUUCGGACAUCUAGGAAAAUAUAGCAUUUUCAUAUGUAAAUAUUAGUGGGAAAUUAUCAAUAGUAGACUACAGUAAAUUGAUAAUACAGAGUUCAUAGUUCAUACUCUAUGUUCCACGUAUUACUGUUGAUAAGGCCUGCAGGGUAUGUGGGAAGAUUUAUCUUCCAGAAGAUUGUAGUUAAUUAUCAUUAUGUAUCCAUAUAUAUUUUUUUAUGUUUUACAGUUUAUUUUAUAUUAUGACUGUGAAUGGGUGUGUUUUCUGCCUGCAAACAAGACUGUUGUAAUGUUUGAUAUCAUAAUUUUUACAACUACAACUUUGCUUUGGCCACCACUUUAUAAUAACAACAUUAUAUAAAAAACUUUUGAAGACAGUCAUAAAAAUGUAAAUUCGUUAAAGUUGUAUUAUGGCUAUUACACAAACGCCACGCGAGUGGACGAGCCCUCUCCAGUACCUGGCUGCUGCGCUGCCUUGUUGCCAUGGUUUCGUCAACACACAAGACACUCGGCAGCUUGCUCCUGCGUUUACGCCACAACUCCUUGGUAACCUAGUCUACAAACAACUCAAAAGUACUGAGAAACUUUACUUUUGGCAGGUUGCGAAUGAUUUGCUGUAUAAUAUCUGUUCAUAUUUCGUGUAACACCUUAAAAUCAUUGUAGUAAAGUUGUAGUUUUGUGCUGGGAUAUCAAAGCUAGCUACAAGAGUGAAAAGACUUUGUGGCUACAGUAGCCAAGUUAGCUUCUCGCACCAAUAUGGAGUUCGGUUCCAAACUCAAGGACCUGAAUAUGACACCGGAUGAAAUGGGCCGCUUUACCAAGGCUUUUCAAAAUGAGGAAUUCAGAAAGAUGCUGCACGAAUACGCAGAGGAAAUAUCAAAGCCAGAGAACAAGAAGAAAUAUGAGGAAGAAAUCAAGUUGUUAGAACAAGAGAGGGGCGUGGACAUUCAAUUUGUCCACCCCAAACCUUACCGAGCCCUGAAGACGAGUAUGGACGGUAGGCAGAAGUGCUUCAUCAAUGUCUGCAGCAAUGACAUGAUUCGUAAACCUGAGUUUAGGAGGGUAGACGAGGCUGGCAGAGUAGGGCAGCAUUGGUCACUUCCCCACAGCUUGACACCUGGAACGCCAGACAGGGAUGCAAAGGGGAAUAAGUACACAAUCUAUGAUGUUGUGUUUCAUCCAGACACUAUUCACAUGGCUGGAAACAACCCAAGAUUUAUGGAAAUGGUUGACAACACUGCUGUUGAGGCUGUCGAGAAGGGGGGCAAAGUGAAGCUAGACAAAAACAAUGUAAGAGUUUUGAAAAUCAAAUACAAAGGGACACCACACGCUGCCGUCAUGCGCAAGCCCUUACCUGGUCAACCUGCCAAGGAAAAACCUUCACCACUUGACAAUCAUCUCUCGUUCCCCUACCCCGACGAAAAGCAACCAGAUACGGCAACAAAUCAAAAGGAGAGCCCUAUACCGAAGGCCGAGAUUCAGUCCGACACCCAGAUCAGCCAGAGACAACAAAAUGUCAAUUCACCCAAGAAGCCAACAAAACCACAUUACACUCUAAAAUACAGAUCAUUCAUUGAUUUGCAAGAUUUCAGGUGUUCAAGAGAUUCAGCUCAGAGCCCACGCCCUAAAGAGAUUGUCAUCACUAUUGAUUUGCCUUUGCUUAGAUCUGUUGCGGAUGCUGAUCUAGAUGUGACUGAAAGACUUGUUAGUUUGGAAUCCAAGAAACCAGCUUACAGACUAGAGGUGCCGAUGGCAUAUCCAGUAGAUGAAAACAAGGGAGAGGCAAAGUUCAACAAGCAAAAGAAACAACUGGUUGUUACAUUACCUGUUCUACCUCUGAAGGAGCCAACAGUCGCUGAAGUGUCUGGCCGGCAGCUUGUCAAUGAUGAUGGUGAAGAGGAUUUUGAGAAUAGUUGUGUAAGCGCAGCGCAGUCGGAAGACGCAACACGUGGCAAAGAGGAUACCCCCGACCACAACGGACGUGGCAAAGAAGAUACCCCCGACCACAACGGACGUGGAAAAGAAGAUACCCCCGACCACAACGGCAAAGAAGAUACCCCCGACCACAGAGGACGUGGCAAAGAAGAUACCCCCGACCACAACAGACGUGGCAAAGAAGAUACCCCGACCACAACGGACGUGGAAAAGAAGAUACCCCCGACCACAACGGCAAAGAAGAUACCCCCGACCACAGAGGACGUGGCAAAGAAGAUACCCCGACCACAACAGACGUGGCAAAGAAGAUACCCCCGACCACAAUGGACGUGGCAAAGAAGAUACCCCCGACCACAGAGGACGUGGCAUUGAAGAUACCCCCAACUACAGUGGUUGCAAUGAAGGGGACAUCUCAGAAGACGUUCACUCUGGAAAUGCCACAUCACUCCGGUCUGAAAAUCAACUAAUCUCAGUCCUGGAAGACAAGAUGGAGUUUUCUGAACAGUCUGGUGACAUUGAGGAGGACAAGCAACACAAACUGAAAAGUGGUGAAUCACACCAAGCUAAAGCUUCAGAGCCCACUGAGUUUGAUGGCAAGACUGGGUGCACUGACCAGAAUGAGGGACAGUCAGAUGACAAUUUACAUGAUGAGGUGGAAACAGACCCAUCAUCCCUGAGCGAGAGAAUAGAUGACCCAUCUAACACUGCAGCAAUGGUCAUCCCAUCCAAUCUUGACAACAGUGACCAGGCCAAAGACUGCUCAUCCCCCAAGAUCGAAGAGAUAGUUGAAAGUCAAGCUCCAACUAAGGAUAAACAGAAGACUGUGCAAUUCAGUGAGCAUGUGGAGGUGGCUCAGUCUCAGGAGGAAGAUGACCUGCCUGCUGAGCAGACCUUUCAGGACUGUAAUAUGAGACCACAGCAAGUACUGCUGACAGAAAUCAACCAGCAUGGACAAGAGGUGGUCAUUUGUGAUCAUACUACAUCUGCUGGUUUCGUUUUUCAAAACUCCUUUAUCUAUGACCUGGACUGAGUCUCCUGUCAAGGAACUUGCUCCGUCACAAAGAUACUAUAUGAAGUUUGUUGCUAAUUCAAUUCGUUGAGGUCUUGCGUGAAAACCUAAAAUCCUUUUAUACAAUUGAGGGCAAUAGGAAAAAAAGUAUUUAAAAAGGUUUAUCUGAAUAAGUGAAUCAGUAAGACUCCCAUGUAUCAAUUUCAGAGAUCUCCUUUUGAAACUAUUUUAAUAAGUUAUUUCCCAUAUACUUACUUCUUUCUACAAAAGGGGGGAAAGUUUACGUUUAGUAUGUUUAAGCAAUAAAGCCCAUAUACCGGUGUAUAUGCCAAUCAGCAUUCAGUGGAGUACCCACCCAAUUUAUAAUUAGUUUUAUACUUACCAUUUGCUAUUAGGCCUACGUGUUGAGGGUGUGGAGAAGCUCACCAUUUGAGCGACGAUUCAACAAUUGUAAAAUGCUGUACUCAGACCAUGCCACGAGGUUCAAGACUGCUUGACAUAAAGGAUGCAUUAGUCACACCACAAAUACUAACAUUUUAAACAAUUGUUUUGGUACAUUGUGUACUACUACAAGAUGGAGCUACCUGGGGAGGCAGGUAGCCUAGUGGUUAGAGCGUUGGACUAGUAACCGAAAGGUUGCCAGAAUCCCUGAGCUGACAAGGUUAAAAAAAUGGCAUUCUGCCCCUGAACAAGGAAUUUAACCCCCCUAGGCCAUCAUUGAAAAUAAUAAUUUGUUCUUAACUGACUUGCCUAGUUAAAUAAAGGUUUAAAAAUGGAAACAGAAGACAAAUAUCAUUUUAAACCUUCAGAAACUAAUUGAGACAAUGAUAGAUAUGGAUAGUUUCUUUAAUUUCCUUUCAAACUUGUACCAAUACAGUAAAAAAUAAAUCAAAAUUUUUUUGAAUUCCACAAACAUGUAAAAAUGUUUAUAUACACAAACACACAUUGUUUAAACAGAUAUAAACUACUAAUUGUCAUUUUAGGUUUCUCAAUCUGUACCACUGAUGGUGAAACACACUUGAAUACAAAAUGUCUGAACAUCAGCACAUGUCCAAUCAGUGGUUACAUAAGAAGUUCUGAGAUGCGUGUUAGGUCCAAUGACCAAAGAGUUCAUACUGCCCUUUACAUUACAGUCUACACUGGCUGGUCACCAUUGCCCUACACUGGCUGGUCACCAUUGCCUUCAGAAUAAUACCAAAAGCAUUAACCACGUUUCCAUCCGACCAUUUCAUGCGGAUUAAUUACCUAAUGCAUGGGAAAAGGUUACAACUGGGCUGAUGGAAACAGGAAAUGCCGUUACAAUUCUAUAAAUACCAAUUAUUUGUUUGACAUGGUGGGAUCUUUUUGUGUCUAAAAUUAAUUAUGUGAGAAACUACAGUGGAAACGCCUUUAUGUGCAAAUAUUGAUACAAUAACCAUCACAUCGAAGUAAACUUGGGAGUCACGUGAUGAUAUUUUGUGUGUUCCUCCCACUACAACUCGGGAAACCAUGCAUUUAUUAAGCUACAGAUGAACUAACUUAUGAACUUCAUAGGGUGGUGAAAGAGCACAGUGUUGAGCUUGAAGUAUUGACGGUCUUAUUCUGGUGACAUGAUGAUCGAUGCUUGGCUGCCAUUUGACAAAUAAUAUCACUCUGCUCCAUAAUAAAAUCUCAUCAUGUAGGUAGCCUACCUGCACUGUGUGUGUGAGCUGUUGGCUAGAGAGCACGUGCCAAGACCAGAGUGGGUACAUUUACUGUGUAACGCAACAUUUGUGACAAAACCCAUCAGUAGACUUGACAAUACGAUGGAAACCCAUUUAACUUGUGUUUUCACAUUCUGUACAUGGGAUUUAACAAUUAAAAGUUAUUUUUACGUGCACUACGUCAUCACACAGCAUUUA